rnacentral:lncRNA from 1 species
ACACCAUCUAGGUGACACCAACAGCCCAAGUGACUGUAAGCAGCAAUCUUUACAGAAGCUUAACCGUACAGCUAGAGUGGAUGUUACCUUACUGCAAUGGACUGUCUGGCAGACCUGCAUGUGAGUAUCAGUAUGACUAUUCCAAAAAGCCCAGUGGAUAUCAUGAUAAAACAGAUUUUUAUGGAAAACACUGAGAUUUAGAGUCCUCCUAAGACCCACCCUCCCUGAGAUCCAGGUGAGACAACAGGGUAAUUUUCUCAAACUGUCCUUUGUCCAAGGCUGACCUGACACUAGGACUGCUUCUCUCCUUGGCUUACCUUGGCCAAGGAACAUGGAAGGACAUUUUACUUCCCCUUGGUUUUGAUUAAAGACUCUUUUUUUUUUCUUUUUUUCUUUUUUGUUGUUGUUGUUGUUAAACUCCACCUUAUUAUAUUAGAGUAGGGACCAUAGGGUUCGUAAGUAUGACUAACAAGUUGAAGCAAAGCAUACCAAUUUUUAAAGAAAGCAAAACGCUUGAUGCUUAAUAUUUCUCUG